GCAGAUUUGUCAGUUGCAUUGUUGCACGACUUUCCAAGGGCAGUACAACAACAUAAUAACUGGACAUACGGACGAUUUUUAUGUGUGUGCUUCAUGUAUACACAAGAUGUCGCUCUAUUUGCUUCGACAUUUUUAUUAGUAUCACUGAGUGUUGACCGACUUGUAGCAUUAACUCGUCCACUAUGGUCAGGUCGACAGAAGGUUUUAACAAGAUCCUGCAUGGUAUUAAUUCCUUGGAUAACAGCAAUUUAUCUCAGUACACCAUACUUGAAAAGUGGACUUUUUCCCUAUCUUGGACAAAUAUGGUGCACUCCUUUCUUUGCCGGGUUGUAUGGCAAGGUUUGUACAUUUCAUGAUGCAAUUAUUGUGUUAAAUGUCAAAAUUAAGGUCCAACUAUAUAUACUAUAUGUCUAGACUGUCAAAGUUACGGUUGUGAAUUCAAAUACCUCACAUGGAAGGUUCAAUCAAGUCCGAUUUUGACAAAGAUUGUCCGUCUUCCAAAACACUGUAAGGACAUUGUUAACAAAAACCAAUAAAAAGAAGGCAGAACUUCAUAGUAUCAUUCGAACAAAUAUUAAUCAAUUCACCGUUUCAGAAUCUAAUACAUCCUGGUAACAUUUUCAAAAGUGGACAGCAGAACGUCGUGUUUGGUUUAACAUGUCAUAAACAAUGAAAAUUCAACCAUUGACGUGACGUAAUUUUCAUUUUGGUGAAACGAACAAUGAAAUAACCCAUGAUUCUUUAGAUUCUGAAACGGUAAAGGUGUUAUUUCGUGCAUAUGAUAACCAAUACACGAAAAAUGUAAUAUAUAUGCAGCGCUGAUUUUUUCUAAUCACUGGCAUACUAAAAUUUGUUGAGAAAGUUGAUGAGUAUCAAAUGAUAUUAGACAUAUUGAUUUUCAAAUUCUGAUAAUUUUCACAACUUUCAGAUUUUCACCACAUGAGUGAUACAAAUACGAGGAAAUUAAGUUUACAUCUUUCUUUGAAUGCAAAAUAUGCUUUGUUAACGAAAUGUCGUACUUCACAACUUAUUCUUACUUUUUAUAAUUCGCUUAUCAAGUUGAAUCUGGGUAAGAAUCAGACAGUGGAAACAACAUGAUAAAAAACAACACUCUGGUGAACUUUCAUUUAAGUUCAAAUUGUAUGCAGGUCCGCAAACUUAAUAUUCGUUUUCUUCUCUCGUAUUUACAGACAUAUUUUGGUUGCAAUAUUUGUUGUUGUAGAUAUGGCUGCCAAUACAUUCGGCUUUGUUAGUGAUAAUUCCAGGUGUUGCUAUGAUUACGAUUUACGGGUAUAUUGCAUAUAUCAUUUGGGUCAGAAAGAACAAAGGUUACAUA
rnacentral:lncRNA from 1 species